GAAAGGAUCACUCGACGCCGGCAGGGCAAACUGCCGCUUGUCAUUCCAGAAGGGAAGUUAAGGCCGGAGGCACCUCUUCUUGCUGCAAAGUUUGCAACUGAAUGCAACAUCACAGUUAGACACCAUAUGCCCGUGUUUAAGCGCUGGAAGGAUUACAAGGACCCAGAUGGACAUGUCCGAGAUGGGAUCUUCAGGAACUUUGUAGGAAAAAACAAGUUUCAGAUGGACGUUGAUGCUAUGCCAGUUAGGAACGCUUGUACUGAAAUGCUGAAACGUGCGACUCGCCAACAACGAUACAGGCUCAAGAAAGAGUAUUUUGACCCUCACCCACUCCAUUUGGUGACGAUAACGUCUCCUGUCCCCUCGAUGACCGAUGAGCAGUGGAAUGAGCUAGUGGAAAGCUGGAAGGAUCCCAAAAAGAUGGGGAUAUGUGAAACUAACAAAAAUAAUCGAGCUCAAGUUAAGUUUCACCAAACCACUGGCUCGCGCAGCUACCCUGUGCACUGUGAUAAUCUGGAAGACAAAUACAAAGAUAAAGAACCCACUGCAUUGGAUUUGUUCAAGGAGUGCCACUACAGCAAGAAAAAGAAAAGCUACACCGAUGUUGUCCAAGCUGCA
rnacentral:rRNA from 1 species